AAGAUAUUAGUAAAUUUAUUACAUAACUUUGUCAAAGUUAAAUUACAGACAAUAAUCUGUAUAUCUUA
rnacentral:tRNA from 4 species